UCAGCUGUCACAUUUGGGCAUGCUUUAAUUCCUUGUUCUGGUAAUCUCAACAAGUGAGCCUUAACCCUAGUGUAGGAACUCUUGAAAACCUUGCUACAGAAAUUGCAUUGCCAAGAAAUAUUUCCACCUCCGUCACGAAUUUUCUCAUAUCUAGUGACAUAAUUUCAAAGAGGCUUAUUCGUGGCUUCUUCAUUGGAAGGUACCCUACUAGCCCCAACAGAAACCAUUUUCCCAAAUGAUAUCUCUGAAAAAAGUUGCAAUUAACACUGAAUGAUAAAUAAUCUAUGGAUAUAAUAAGGACCCAAGGUAAUAAGGCUUUUAGGAAUUUCAUUAGGCCCUAAUAACCUAAUUUUACAUUUGAAAAUUCAAACUUUCAAUUCCAAUAAGCCACAUGUUUACCACAUUGAAUCCCCCAAGUUAUUAUCCCAAUUUACAAUAUCUAACUAGUGCAAAUAACAUGAAGAUAAAAAUGUAUCCACAUUUAAAGCUGUAACGUGUUUAGGUAGCACCCAAAAUUGUAGCAUCCAAAAUUCCAAUGAUUCCGACUAAAAAAAAUGUCCAGAAACCAGCUUAGUAGUUCAGUAAGUAAACAAUCUAACUGCAUCAAACAAGCCUAGUACGCUGAAAAAACAUUUCACCGCAUCUCCACCUUACAAUCAAAAUAAAAUAGCUCCCACAAUGGCUUUGUUGGUCCCGACAGGAAUUUUAGCCUAAACUAUCUAAAGGCCAAAAAUGAAAACUUUAUAACAGUCUCUUCAGUACUAAAAUAUAGUGAAGCAUACAAAUAGCAAAAAUACUUGGCACAAAGAUAUGAAUAACACUCCAUACCAAUAAAAAAUUACAAAACCCACCAAUUGUUACGGGGCGAACUAAGUAUCAAAUAGUCCAAAGAUAUUUUUACUGUGAUAAUCAGACAAAGAAUUUGAGGAAAUACUGAAGCUCCUGUCCUGCGAACCUAAUUUAGUAACUAGUUCACACUUCACAUGGAGUAUAAAAGGGAAACAAGCAAUGAGCUUUCAUGUAGCUUAAACCCUACUUUUGUUUCUGAUAAACUGAAUAAAAAUAAAGGAUUAGGAAGGAAAAAAAACUUCUGUGGAUUAUGUCUGUUACCCAGUUCCCAAAAAAAUGCAAAAAACUGAACUGGGAGAGACCAUGUAAAUAUAUAACAUAUACAUAUACAUAUAUAUUAUAGAGAGAAAGUACCUUUUGGCCUUUGCUGAGUUGCUGAGAGGAGCCGGCAAUUUGGGUCCGACGGAAGGGAAGCUGGGGGAUUCUUGAUACUGGUGCACCGAGUAAGCGACAGGUACUAACUGCUCUGGGCUUCUUCUACCUAUCAAAUUGAAAAAGUGAAAACUGAAAAGACUCCUAAUCUAAU
rnacentral:lncRNA from 1 species